rnacentral:sRNA from 1 species
CCUAGACAUCUUCUUUUUUACAUAGGCUCCCAGGGUUAAGUCUGUAGAAGUCUGUCCUGACCAGGCAGUUGCAAUUGUCUCUGUUACAUGUGAAAACUCAUGUCCACCAAGUCUUACAUUCUCUUCUUGCUGUCUCCAGAAAGGAGAUUUUCCAUGUUACCAUCAGCGAUAGGAGAAGAACUGCACUGAGACUGCAAAUCUAGAAUAAAGACAAUCUACAAAGUUAAGCAGUGGAGCCUGAGCCACGAGCUGUUGUGAGCAGAACAAAAGGCCUUCAGCUUGUACCCACAAUUGACUUUGAGUCAAGUUUUUGCCACUCCUAAACAUCUUUCCUCAGAAUCCCUCUCCAAGCCAAGGUGGUUCUUAGCACAACAGGGUCUCCUACAUCUUAUUCUGGCCUCUAUGCAGUAACCCAACAGAACAUAUUGUGUGAAAACACUUUCCCUUCUCUCAGAUCCCCAAGCCAUCUGGUGAGUCUUUUGUCUAUUGCUUUUACAAAUGGCAGGCUGGCUGGUGAGCAAAUUGUCCUGGGAGAAAGCAACUGACAGUACUUAAAGGACUUUUAGAUCCCUUGCUGCAUUAAACCAGAUAACAUAUGUGAAAGUACCUAACUGGAAGCCUGGUGGAGCAGGUAGUGGAAUUAGUGGUGGGAUGGAUGGGCAGCAUCUAUGAAUCUUUGUAAGAUUAAUCUCAGAGACAAACAGUUUUUCCCUGAACUGUGCAGAUCUUCCCUGUAACAAUUCAUAGUCAAAAUUCUAUGACAACUUCUGAUGUUGGCACGGUAACAGGAUUAAAUUCUUGCUGAUGUUACCUUCAGUUUAUAAAGGCAGGUAUGUGACACCAUUUCUUUCUAGCCUCAUCUCUUGAUAUUAGCAAAAUAGUCACAUAUGCAGUGAGAGGCUUUUCCCAAUGUAAAGAUGUGAAGCUGGGCACUUUUGUCACAGGUAACUAUUUAAAGUGAGCUGGACUCCUCUGGGAUCCUGGGCUCUUUGCAGGGAAGAGAUACACUUUCUAUUUUGAUAGGUGUUCUAUAGUGCUAAUAAGAUGCUCUAUGGAGGAGAAUGAAGACACUUACCUACCUGCCUUCCCUCCAUGUUCUCUGCUAAAGGGAGAGAGCAACUGGAGUCUUACUGAGUAGAAAAGAAUCUUCUGUUAUCUACUGGUGCAGGUAUUAAACAGGACCAUUUGUAGAGGAAUUAAUUACACAGAGCACAGGUUCUUGACUCAGCAAAAAACAGUUUGAACAUUGUGUUUCUCUGCUUAUUAAGGGUGGUCAUCAACUCUGUCAGCAUGCAAGUAUUGCCUUCCAUUGAAAAUAAAUAUGAUGUUAUCCAUGCAUCUGGCAAUAACCUCAGUACUUGAUUCCUGUGUAAUGGGUAGAUAGAAGCCCAUUCUAUACCCUACAAUUUGAUGGCAAACAAUCCACAGAUACAUAGCUCCAUACUUUGCUGAGGAUAACCCAACUUGGGAAUUCCUGAUGGGAUAUUUCUUACAGUAUGUUUGCAGAAGCCUUCAGUGGAACCUAACUCUUGCUUUCUGGCAAGGUUGGUGUGUCAGGCAAACUCUACAUGAGGGCAAACAGAGGUUGACCCUCCACUCAGCUUACCUUCAUUCUGAUUUUCUUGCUUAUAGGAGUCCCUGUCAAAAAGAUUUUGAAUCCUCCUCUCAGGCUCUUCAUGCAAGCAACUUGAUCCAGAAUUUGUAAAGUGCCGUCCAGAGGCAAUAUCUCCGAAGUCUUAGGUCAAAUCUCAUCCUCACUUUUUUCCAGCAAUUGUUCCUGAGUUCUUCAUUUGGUUUCCCUGCUAGAAUGUUACUCUAAACUUACACAAAGUUGAGAAAGAUCCUUAGGAAAAGGGUGAGCAAUGAAUUUGGUGGCAUUAUUUACCAUGCAAACAAUGUAUUUGUGUUCAGUAUAAAGAACUAUAUAAAAUUAAAAACAUAUGGACAAAAUGGAGGAGAUGGUCUUGAGAUUCACAGAAGAGGAAAUUAUAAUGGUCAAUACAUACCUAAAGUAGGAAACCAUGACAUGUUGAACCAUUCCAUAACAAAAUGAAAACAUCUAAUAAUAUUAGUGCUGGAAAAAAUGUGAAGCAAUACAAAUACACAUACUCCAUGACAGAGAUUUCCUUAGUUUCCCCAGCCAUAAUUUUAGACAUAAAUUAUUCAAUAUCAUGCAUGAUUAAGGAUAUUCAUAUAUUAUAAUUGAUUAAUUAUAGUUCUAAGAAUAUUUCACCCAUACUUGUUGCCCAUGUUCCAAAAUCUGUCACAUUUAUAUACAGAACAAGAACCAAAAUAAACUAACAAAACUUGAAAACAAUUAUACCAUUCAUUGCCAGGAAAAUGAAUGAAAUAAGGGUAGUGUGUCUGUGGACUGAAUAUUAGAAAGCUCAAAAAUUAUAUGAAUUAGCAUGAUAUAGAUCAAUAUGGGAAAUUUGUAAGCAUAAUAAAGAACAGAGGGACAUAAUCAGUGAUCCCAUUCCUUUGUUCAGUUCAGAGUAUCCCUAUGCAUUUUUAAAAUGAUGCUUACAAACAUCAUAAAUGAAUACAUCUAGACGUCAGUCCUGGCCUUAUAAGACAUUGGGUUGGAAUUUAGGAAGUCUUAUCAUGUCAGAGUUAGAAGAGAUGUAGGUUUCAAAUGUAUGAGGGUUGUUUUCAUCAUUUAAAGCACUACAAUUCUGAUACAGAUGUAAGAAAAUAUGCUUUAUCUGGUGUGCAAGAUUUAAAGAUUCGAUGGUUUUCUUUCAGCCUUGUGCAAGUUACCUUUCUUGUUGUUAUAACAAAAUAAUUGAAUAAAUUUAAGAUAGGACAGACUUAGUUCAUGCUUUGAGGGUACAGUCCAUCAUUACAGGGAAAUCAUGCAGUCCAAGAAUGAGGAAGCUGGUCACAUAACAUGUAUAGUCAGGAAGGAGCAGGGAAGGAGAAGGAUA